rnacentral:rRNA from 1 species
GAUGAACGCUGGCGGCGUGCCUAAUACAUGCAAGUCGAGCGAACAGGCGAGGAGCUUGCUCCUCUGACGUUAGUGGCGGACGGGUGAGUAACACGUGGAUAACCUACCUAUAAGACUGGGAUAACUUCGGGAAACCGGAGCUAAUACCGGAUAAUAUAUUGAACCGCAUGGUUCAAUAGUGAAAGACGGUUUUGCUGUCACUUAUAGAUGGAUCCGCGCCGCAUUAGCUAGUUGGUAAGGUAACGGCUUACCAAGGCAACGAUGCGUAGCCGACCUGAGAGGGUGAUCGGCCACACUGGAACUGAGACACGGUCCAGACUCCUACGGGAGGCAGCAGUAGGGAAUCUUCCGCAAUGGGCGAAAGCCUGACGGAGCAACGCCGCGUGAGUGAUGAAGGUCUUCGGAUCGUAAAACUCUGUUAUUAGGGAAGAACAAAUGUGUAAGUAACUAUGCACGUCUUGACGGUACCUAAUCAGAAAGCCACGGCUAACUACGUG